UUCUGACAAUUCAUUCUAGUUUCAAAUCUUAUGUUAUGGCUCCCUAACUUAAAAGUUGCUGAAGCAGUUACUUCAACACUUUUAUAGAUUCUGAGAUUUGUGCAAGAAAUUGAAGAGUCCAAUAAGGAAUAACAACUUGAAACUCGAAUUUGAUGCAUUUUUGCCUGAUAUCAAGUUAUGGAUUUUGUUUUGCAAGGCCGAAAUCGGAGAUUUUGGGACAUAAAUUAUCAUCUAAG